rnacentral:rRNA from 1 species
UACGUAGGGGGCAAGCGUUGUCCGGAAUCAUUGGGCGUAAAGAGCGUGCAGGCGGCCCGGUAAGUCCGCUGUGAAAGUCCAGGGCUCAACCCUGGGAUGCCGGUGGAUACUGUCGGGCUCGAGUCCGGAAGAGGAGUGUGGAAUUCCUGGUGUAGCGGUGAAAUGCGCAGAUAUCAGGAGGAACACCAAUGGCGAAGGCAGCACUCUGGGACGUGACUGACGCUGAGACGCGAAAGCGUGGGGAGCAAACAGG